AUGCUUAAAUUCCUGGAUGUAAACGCACACUUGCCUCCUACACAGGCCAAAAUACUAUUGGAGAUAAGGAUACUUGUUUUGCAUAUUUGCAUCUCGAAGAAGCUUGCCCGCUAUUGUAAGUCUGACAUUUUCUUGCUUGCUUGUGGAAAAACUGGUUCUCAUUCAGUUAUGCUUGUCAGUCUGAUAGAAGAUGGACACCCCUCUUUAAGUUGGUUUAUGGGCUUGCGGAGUGUGAGAAACCCUUGGUAUGCCUCCAUCCUUCGUCCCUUGCUCCGUGGCCUGGAUGUCGAGGGAGGGCGAGAGGUGGUGAUAUGCAGGGGUGAGGGAGAUGGAGGCGGUGACCUGCAGCUCCUAUUGAAGGGGCGGAGAAGAGGGGGUGCGGAGAUGAGAGGCUAUUGUUGUUUAUUCCUUCAUGCAGUAUUUCUGAGUUGGUUCACUCUGAAAAAAGGCAAUGGAACACUAAAUAACCUGGCAACGGAUACCCUGUGGUCUACCAUUAUAAUUAUGUGUGCAUUUUGGAUCUAUUGGAUGUCUGAAUGUAAUGCUAAUCGACAUUUACUGAUGCAAAGAUUUUGCAGGGAUGUAGAUAUAUAUGGUGAUGUUUCACUACGAUCUAAGUGUUUCAGUUCAUAUUUAGCAGGAUCACAUUUUGACCAAUGA
rnacentral:rRNA from 1 species